rnacentral:lncRNA from 1 species
UUAUCUUAAAAAUUUAGAUAGGAAUCAAAAGAUAAUAAAUAAAAUAUGUAAAUGCUAUCUAUUUAUAAAAUGGGCUUCUAUUUACUUUAUAAGGAAAUAAAUAGAGCAAAUUAAGAUAUAUUAGAAAAAUAAUGGAUAUAAAAAUAUGUGUAAUGGAAUUAAGAAUUGAUUUUAGUAAUAAUUAUCUUAAAAAAAUAAGAAUUGAUAUGUGAAAAGGAUUGGUUGCCAACUAGGAUCAAAAUUAGAUUCCAAGGUACAAAACCAUGCACCUACAGCAACUCUAUAGUUCUUUUAUUAAUCAAAAAGUGUAUUUUGAAAGAAGACUUUAUAGAAUUUUUUUGAGCAUUGGUUUUGGAUAAUUUGAAUAUGUAAUAAGUUUGUAAGAACUUUGUAAAUUCAAAUUUUUUUUGAGUGACUUUGAUUUUAUGAAAUAAAAAAGAAUGUAUAU